ensembl:lncRNA
GGGCAGAGGGGCACUGGAUUUGGGGGUUUUUCCUAUUUUGUUUUUAAUUAUUCCCACAGAGUUUUUAUUUGGUUAGGGGUGUGGGGUGUGUUUUAGUUUGUUUUUUAAUAGUGAGGCUGGUAUUUUGAACUCGUUCUGCUGCCGAAGCCUUGUCUCCCCUCCCUGCGUCUGAUGUGAAGUGCUGCAUUGAUGCAAUAGCAACUCGCCUCAGGCUUCCACCUUGGCUCCCAGGGGGCCAUCCCGCAAAAUGAAUCAGCAGCCAUCCUGAGCAGACUGAUUAAAAUGAAAAUGGCAAGGCACAUGUCUGGGCGGAACUAGAGCUUGAGCUGCACUGCCUGUCUGGCAAGCAUGCUCAAUAUAGCUUUUGCUAAUAAUGGCUUACCGCCUUUCAUUUUUUAAAGGUAUUACCGUCACCCCUUCCCCCACUCCCCAAACAGUCAACGGUGCUGGGGGAUUUUCCCCCCUUAAUUGUACACUGAUCGCAGUGAUAUUUUGCCAGAAUGACAUACAGUGACUGUGAAAAGACAUUUUCCUUGCAAGGAUUUUCUUCGCAGAUGUGCUGAAAUACAAAGACGACAUAUUAACAUGCAUCUAUAAAUUAUUCCCAGAUAUUAGCUGGGAAAGAAACCUCAGAGGAAGAGGAAAGCUCAGUCACUACCAUAAACAUCAUUUUUUUUUCCUGUUUUUACACCUCAGCUUGCAAUGGCACCUUGUGCAUUAUGCAUCACAAGAAAAUGACUGCCAGUAAAUGCAGAGCAACUUCCUGGAGCUUUAUGUGUGCUGCGUUUGACAGACUCUGAGCUGAAUUUCUAAAGACCACCACCCCACACCCCCCCAAGCAGAUAACUGGGUGCACAGAGAAAGAGCAAUUUAAAGCGGGCAUCUCCUGUAGUCCUUGGAUGAAACACUAACAUUUUGCAGACAGCUUCAGUGUGCAAAGCAGAGCAGCGAGAAAACGUCGAUCGAAGCAUGCACAGGAUCUGAAACCUUGGAAGAAUGUUGUUUCGUGGGGACUGCUCUGCCUGUUUUUGUUAAGACAGAAUUGCAGGAUUGGGAAAAUCAAAGAGGAGAUAAAUCACAGACUGACCAUAUGACCAGGAUUUCCAGAUGCCUGGGGCUCUCAGUUGCCUGACUCUUACCUCUCUGACUACUGGAAUACAAAAUUACAGCGGACUUUUGUCAUUUUGCCUCCCAUCCUUCCAGUUUCUCAAAAAUAAAUGCAUGGAGCUGAAUAAUUUGAUUUCAAGAAAUUCCUGAAGUGUCAUCAUCUGGGUUUGAUAUCAGCAACAGUUUCCCUCUGCAGAUGAACUUAGAAUACAAAGCUUAAAAAAAAAAAAAAUGUAAUGGAAGCCCUGGCACUUGGAAGAAAAAUAGAAGUAUUUAGUAGCAGGGCAGAGCAAAGGCAGAAUCCCUCUCUUCUGACUCAAAUAUAUGCAUUAAAUAACAACCAGUUGUGUUCCUUCUUCUAUCCUACUUUCCCUCAUCCUAUAAGCAGUAAUGCAGCAUGAUGUCUAAGACAUCUCAGCCAAGAAAACCUACUUCUACCACGGACUCGAGCCCCAAAUACUUUCUCUGAUUUUUCUUAGAUGUUAGUGCUCUCAGAACCAUUCUCUCUGCAUCAUUCUUGAGCUCUUCUCUUACAUCUAGUAUUUUCAGAACAUUUGCUUCUGCCGCUCCUGAUAUUGACAGUCUUUGUCAUCCCACUUCUACAGCUAAUCCAUUGGUAGUUUUUGUUGAUGGAGCAAGCAAACAGACUGACAUAAAAGAUUCCUAUCCCAGUGGUGUGUUGAGACUUUAACUGACAGCUAUUUAAUCUGUAACACUGACUACAUCAGUUCCAAUGUACUAGGAAUACAGUGCUUACCCAGACUGAAGGAAUGUCAGCAAAAAUCCCGUAACAAUGGGGAACUCCGUCUGCUCCCCUGCUACUAUGCAAUUGUUUGUAGUUGUUGAAAGAGCCUUAAAGCUGAUCAACGGUAAGGCUUCCACAGAAUGAGCUUGAAUCCUGAUGACUUAUGGAAAUUAUUUAAAGCUCUGUGGUAUACUUUUAGUAUAGGGCCAAGCUUUCUGCACUGCUAAUGAAAUCUGUAGCAUCUGAACUGGAAAACUUUACUGCAAACUCUUAUCCAACAGGUGCAUUUUUGCACAUAGUGCAUGUAUGAAAGAAAACUUUAAGUCAGCAUAUACAUCGUGACAAUAAGAAGUUUAUUUGGGUUUUGGUUUUAGGUUUUUUGUUGUUGUUUUGUUUUGAUUUUUGUUUCAAAGAACAGUAUGUCUAGAUUCUGAUGCUAGGUAGCAAUCCACGACACAAUGCCCAGACAUGGGUCAGGGAACAGCAUAUGCCAGGGAUCAUUCCCAACACCCAGCAUCAGCCUUGGUUCUCCCUGCAAAAGAGUUUCCAAAGUAUUUGCACCAUGUGACACUUCUUCAUACCCUUAUGCUAUACACUGGAACACGCUGCACAUUCUCUGUUUAAUACUAGAAAAGUCCCCAUGCCAAAAGGUUGCAAUACAACUCUCACAUUAUUUCACUUCAAACUAAAAUGGGCAUGAACCCAUGGCUGUGUCCUGAGACUUUAAUUUAACAGCAAUAGCCUAGAAGACACUUAAGUCCAAGUGUCACACAGUAUUCCUGCAGUCACUCUGUGCUGCUUGACCUCCGGGCUAGAAAAUAGCUAUUAGCCUUUUUUAUUUAGUGACAUAUAUAGCCAACAAGACCUUCUGAGAUAGAGAACACUGAAUGAGUACAGUAUUGAGCCAGGGGAAAGAUAGAAAACUAAGACAAAUGGCAUAUAUCUCAUGUAUUUGUCAGCAAGAUUAAAAAGUAAAUAAAUGUACAGACCAUAUGAAAGAGAAGUAUUUGCUACCCUUUGUGCCUUAGAGCACCAAAAUAUCUCAGUGGGAUCAACUGAGUUUUUCUACAGACUUGUCACACCACAACAAAAUUCUGAAUCUCCAGAGAAAUUACAAGCAAGCAGCUAAUGCUCAGUUGACUAGGUGAAUAUUCAUGUUGAUGAACAGAAGGAUAGUCACAGAGCCAGAAAAAAGACCUUCCUCUGCAGCGUAUGUUAUUGAAUUAAACUAUACAACUUCCCUCUUUCCAUGUCAGAGAUAAACCUUAUUUUGAAAAAGGAGCAAGAAAAAAAAAGCAAUAAAACUGUAAACAAAUAAACAAGAACAACAAAAAAAAAUAAACAGAACUUAAAUACUUAUCCUGUAUUGGUUGUGGGAUUUAGACAUUAAAUUUAAAUAAAUACAGCUAUGAGAACAUCAUUGAUGCCAACUACCCACAUUACGAGAGAGAUGGAAAUACUUAGCCUGGUUAAGUUGCAACAAGAGGAUGUGAUCUGCAUUUUGCAUAAAAACCAGAAACACAGCUUACUGUUAGAAAUUAGGGUUCUGAAAAUUCUACCUAAGAGCAUGAGGUCAACUGAGUCCAGAUAAAUGUAACAAGCAGCACUACAAGAGUUGCAAAUAAGAAUUUUAAAGUAAUAAAGUUGUCCAAUAGGAACUUAGCAGCUCAUCAAGCUGAACUAUCAAGACUGAAAGCCCAGAUAGGAUCUAGCCAAUUCCACUCAACAGAACUUUACACUAGGAAGGGCUGAUGUGGACACAGAGUUUAAAACAAGUUGGAUGAUGGCCAGAAGACAGAAUUUAUCAUAGGCAUUAAUGCGUUCUUGAAAACAAACGGUAUUACAUAUCAUUGUAGAAAAAACAGUUCUCAAUCGUCAAUGCCUUUGUAUUUUUUUUCUAGGUGGUUCCAGUGCAUUAAAAUUAGUUGGAAGCACUACAACAUCAAUUACUUUUAGAAAAAAGUUAUCCCUAAUGAGACCCUGAAAAAAGUGUAUUUUUCCUGAUUUUAAAAAGGAAAAGAUAGACUUCACAGACAUAGAUAGAUAGACUUUACAGAGUCAAAGGAUAACCCAGGUUGGAAGGUUCAUCAGGAAGUGUUAAUUCCUGCACAAAGCUGGAUAGGGGUUUACACAGGGUGGUAACUACAUGGUCUCUAGGACAACCUACUUCACUUCUUGGCUGUUCUCAUGGUGAUAAAGGAUUAAAAGAAACAACCCAAAGAACAUUUGCUAAAACACACUGAGUAAGUGCUGUAGUGACUUUAUUUCAAAAUACCUUUAAAAAGGCAGUGAGCAGCUCUUUCUACUUUAUUAUGAAAAUAAAUACCUAAGAGAUACUGAAAUAUGCCAGCUUAGUGUAGUGGCUUGCAAGAAGGUUAUACAGCCAGUAAGAAGAGGAUUACAGGCCUAAACCUUAGACUAACUAUCAUAAGCUGCUGACUUAGCUGGAGAGACUCAGAUAUUUAAUAGAUUCAUAGGAAAACUGAGAAAGUAGUGUAGAGGCCAUUAGUGUGGGGUAGGAUGAAAAAUAAGAAAAUUAAUAUGUACUCUUCUUUCAUUUUCAUUUAGGUUCUCUGAGUAGAUUAGUGUAGUUUGCACAUAACUACACAGGUCACUCCAAAAGUAAUGCCUCCUAUUUAUUUCCAUGGAAAUUACAGCAGCAAUAACACUGUUUGAUAGAGAAAUUCUCAGCUAAAAACCUCUAUUUUUUAACAUAUUUAACACCAUUAGCUCUGCAUUUUCAACAGUAAUGAACAAGAGCCUGUAUGCCACACUUGUACAGAUCUACACCAGCAGAGGUGACCCACUGUUUCACAGCUACAAUUACACCAUGGCUGAAACGCACCACCCACCACUUCACUGUGCUCACAUCCACUGUUUGGUCUCCAGAUAGAUUCAGCAAGCAUCAAUUAAUGCCAACAGGUACCAUUUUUUUUUUCCACAUGGAGGAAUUCAAUGACACACCUUUGCUUCAUACACACUUGUAUGCCAGACGCCACUGUAAGACUGCCCCUCUGCUGCUAUGGCAACAGAAUGUCAUUGAAUGUCAGUAGGAAGGUUCAACAUCUACCACCAUACUACCAAUAUCUGCCUCUGAUGUUGUGUGCCAACAUAAUUAACGGGAGGCAUUACUUGCAGAGCAGACCUCAUAUAUUUUUAGCUAUAGCCACAAAUACUGCCUAACAGAGCAUUUCAUGGUUAGUACAGCCUCAUUCCUGUAGGGGUUAUAAGUAAAGAAUAACUGACUAGAAGAGUCAGAUUCACUAAUAUUGUUUAGUUCUUUCUGCAAUAAAGACGUGUUCACGAUCCCUAAUAUUCCAAGGACAGAUUGGCUAUCUAAUCACUGGCAUGACUAAUCAGUUGGAGUAACCACUGCAGUGACAAAGAUUCUUGUUUUCUAGAGCACACUAUUGUUCUAUUCUACAAAUUCUUUGCCUUCAACAGUCAGUUGUAUUGCCUCUCUUGAUGUAAAAGGUUCUCAAUGCAUAAUUGAAGUAUGAUAACAGUCUUCAAAUACACAAAAAACUGACACAAACAGGAAAGGAGCACCUUGUUCUUUAUAUUAGCAGUAAAGUAGGCUGAGAAUUAAUGGGCUUAAAUUAGGCAUUGGGAAAAAAAUCAGUGAUACAAAUAGAGAGACCACAACAGAUAAUGCUGGAGAUCAUUAAGUCACCAUCACUGGAUAUUUUCUAGAAUAACAAUUGGUCAGGAGUGAUGUAAGUAUAGUUGAGUUUGUGUUAGUGCUGGGAGAUGAAAGAGAUGGCCUUCUGAGGUCCCUUCCAGGCCUGACCUGGGUUUCUAUUUGAAGUCUGACUUAAGCAGUAACAGUCUGUAGUGUAUUUCAAAUGGAAUUAUAUCUUGCAAAAUAUUCCAACGAAACGAGACUCAUUAAAAUCUGAAAACUUGAAUGACCCCACUAAUUUCAUUACUGAAGUAAUUCUUUGAACUCAUUUAUUUCUCCUUUUCAUUUAUUACUAGCAUUGUGCUUGAGAAAACUGCAACCUGAUAAGAAAUAUGUAGAUAACUGGCAGUGGCUCGAGCUCAUCCAGCUGUGCUCAUGCUUGACCUGCCUUUUCUUAAGCAGAAUCAUCCCAUUUGUUGCCUGUUCUUAAGCUCAUUGACUGGACUUCAUAUACCAGGAAGUGAAAAGCUUGAAGUUAGGAAGUCGUACAGAAUAUCUGCAUACAACUUAAACUAAUCACUUUUUGUAUGGUAGUACUGCCUUUUUGUAAAAUAGUUGGCUUCACCCAGCCUAUUGGGUGAUGGCAUUUGAAUAGAUUUUGCUGAGCAAUGACAUACUAGGGAACUGGGCCUUUCCUAAAUAUUCACUACUACUUUCUCCCUGGUUCUGAAUAAGCCAUAAUUCAAUUCUUCCAGUUUCUAUUUCUUGGUUAGUAAAAUGCUCCAUGAUUUUCUUCCUCAAGACUCAGCUAUAGCAGUCAUGAUUAACUUCUCAGCUGAAGUCAGCAGCAGGUCGGCAAGUUUCUUCCUUGCCAUUAGAUAAUACUGUAAUCAAUAGGAAUCAUCUGCCCUCUUAACAACAGGGAGACCUUCCUAGGAGAAAAAAAAAAAUUAACCAUCCAUAUCAAAUUGAAAGCAAAUGCAUAAGCUCUUUCCAGGUCAGUUAAGCACACUGGGUCAAUAUCCAUCACCUUCUACCCCUCUCAUUAAGAAACCCCUCUCUGUCUAUCCUUGCUAUCUAUCUGUAGAUAACCUCCUGUUGUUUUAAUGAAGAUUUAUUUAAUAAUAACUUUUAAUAUGUUUAACUGAAACAAACACCACCAAAGGAAGAAAGACUUUCCCAAAUCCAAAUAGAAGAUAAUUUUAAUUAAAUUAUGAAAAAAAUUACUCAGAUUUAGGGCAUUAUGAAAUAAAUAAUAUCAUAUCAAAAUCAGACAUUUAGUAUAGAACCUUAUACUACAGAAUUUCCAGAAUUCACAUAUUAUUGAUCCUCUUUUUAUGAACAGCAGAAGAAGUCAAGACAGAC